GACGAACGCUGGCGGCGUGCCUAAUACAUGCAAGUAGAACGCUGAAGAGAGGAGCUUGCUCUUCUUGGAUGAGUUGCGAACGGGUGAGUAACGCGUAGGUAACCUGCCUUGUAGCGGGGGAUAACUAUUGGAAACGAUAGCUAAUACCGCAUAACAAUGGAUGACACAUGUCAUUUAUUUGAAAGGGGCAAUUGCUCCACUACAAGAUGGACCUGCGUUGUAUUAGCUAGUAGGUGAGGUAAUGGCUCACCUAGGCGACGAUACAUAGCCGACCUGAGAGGGUGAUCGGCCACACUGGGACUGAGACACGGCCCAGACUCCUACGGGAGGCAGCAGUAGGGAAUCUUCGGCAAUGGGGGCAACCCUGACCGAGCAACGCCGCGUGAGUGAAGAAGGUUUUCGGAUCGUAAAGCUCUGUUGUAAGUCAAGAACGGGUGUGAGAGUGGAAAGUUCACACUGUGACGGUAGCUUACCAGAAAGGGACGGCUAACUACGUGCCAGCAGCCGCGGUAAUACGUAGGUCCCGAGCGUUGUCCGGAUUUAUUGGGCGUAAAGCGAGCGCAGGCGGUUUGAUAAGUCUGAAGUUAAAGGCUGUGGCUCAACCAUAGUUCGCUUUGGAAACUGUCAAACUUGAGUGCAGAAGGGGAGAGUGGAAUUCCAUGUGUAGCGGUGAAAUGCGUAGAUAUAUGGAGGAACACCGGUGGCGAAAGCGGCUCUCUGGUCUGUAACUGACGCUGAGGCUCGAAAGCGUGGGGAGCGAACAGGAUUAGAUACCCUGGUAGUCCACGCCGUAAACGAUGAGUGCUAGGUGUUGGAUCCUUUCCGGGAUUCAGUGCCGCAGCUAACGCAUUAAGCACUCCGCCUGGGGAGUACGACCGCAAGGUUGAAACUCAAAGGAAUUGACGGGGGCCCGCACAAGCGGUGGAGCAUGUGGUUUAAUUCGAAGCAACGCGAAGAACCUUACCAGGUCUUGACAUCCCGAUGCUAUUUCUAGAGAUAGAAAGUUACUUCGGUACAUCGGUGACAGGUGGUGCAUGGUUGUCGUCAGCUCGUGUCGUGAGAUGUUGGGUUAAGUCCCGCAACGAGCGCAACCCUUAUUGUUAGUUGCCAUCAUUCAGUUGGGCACUCUAGCGAGACUGCCGGUAAUAAACCGGAGGAAGGUGGGGAUGACGUCAAAUCAUCAUGCCCCUUAUGACCUGGGCUACACACGUGCUACAAUGGUUGGUACAACGAGUUGCGAGUCGGUGACGGCGAGCUAAUCUCUUAAAGCCAAUCUCAGUUCGGAUUGUAGGCUGCAACUCGCCUACAUGAAGUCGGAAUCGCUAGUAAUCGCGGAUCAGCACGCCGCGGUGAAUACGUUCCCGGGCCUUGUACACACCGCCCGUCACACCACGAGAGUUUGUAACACCCGAAGUCGGUGAGGUAACCUUUUGGAGCCAGCCGCCUAAGGUGGGACAGAUGAUUGGGGUGA
rnacentral:rRNA from 1 species